rnacentral:rRNA from 1 species
UACGUAGGGUGCAAGCGUUGUCCGGAAUUAUUGGGCGUAAAGAGCUCGUAGGCGGUUUGUCGCGUCGAAUGUGAAAACCCGGGGCUCAACCCCGGGCCUGCAUUCGAUACGGGCAGACUAGAGUUCGGUAGGGGAGUCUGGAAUUCCUGGUGUAGCGGUGAAAUGCGCAGAUAUCAGGAAGAACACCGGUGGCGAAGGCGGGACUCUGGGCCGAUACUGACGCUGAGGAGCGAAAGCGUGGGGAGCGAACAGG